rnacentral:rRNA from 1 species
UUGCGCCAAUGGCGAAGCUGACGCAGCGACGCCGCGUGGGGGGAUGAAGUCUCGGAUUGUAAACUCUGUUAAGCGGGAAGAAAGUUCUAUCUCUAUAUAGGUAGAUAUGACGGUACCGCUAGAGAAAGCACCGGCUAACUUCGUGCCAGCAGCCGCGGUAAUACGAGGGGUGCAAACGUUAUUCGGAUUUACUGGGUGUAAAGGGUGUGUAGACGGGUUAUUAAGUUCGUUGUUAAACCCUUCCGGCCUAACCGGAAGCUCGCAAUGGAAACUGAUAGUCUUGAGGAUGGAAGAGAGAAGUGGAAUUCUCGGAGUAGCGGUAAAAUGCGUAGAUCUCGAGAGGAACACCGAUGGCGAAGGCAGCUUCUUGGUCCAUAUCUGACGUUGAAACACGAAAGCGUGGGGAGCAAACAGGAUUAGAUACCCUGGUAGUCCACGCCGUAAACGAUGAUCACUAGAUGUUGGCCCUGUUUUGCAGGGUUAGUAUCGAAGCUAACGCGUUAAGUGAUCCACCUGGGAACUACGAUCGCAAGAUUAAAACUCAAAGGAAUUGACGGGGGUCCGCACAAGCGGUGGAACAUGUGGUUUAAUUCGACACUACGCGAGGAACCUUACCUGGACUUGACAUGCUUUUGAUCGCUGUAGAAAUACAGUUUUCUAAGCUUUUGUUUAGACAGAAGCACAGGUGCUGCAUGGCUGUCGUCAGCUCGUGUCGUGAGAUGUUGGGUUGAGUCCUUUAACGAGCGCAACCCCUGCUGUCAGUUGCUAUUCAUCUUCGGAUGAAGCACUCUGAUGGGACUGCCUGGGAAACCAGGAGGAAGGUGGGGAUGACGUCAAGUCAUCAUGGUCCUUAUGUCCAGGGCUACACACGUGUUACAAUGGUCGGUACAGAGGGGUGCAAUGCCGCGAGGCGGAGCAAAUCCCAAAAAGCCGGUCUAAGUUCGGAUUGGGGUCUGCAAUUCGACCCCAUGAAGCUGAAAUCGCUAGUAAUCGUAUAUCAGCAAUGAUACGGUGAAUACGUUCUCGGACCUUGUACACACCGCCCGUCACACCACGAAAGCUAUUUGUACCCGAAGCUAUCUUAGCCAACCUGUAAGGGGGGCGGAUAGUAA